UGAGGAAUAUUGGUCAAUGGGCGAGAGCCUGAACCAGCCAAGUCGCGUGAGGGAAGACGGUCCUAUGGAUUGUAAACCUCUUUUGUCGGGGAGCAAAAAGGCCUCGUGAGGCCACAAGUGAGAGUACCCGAAGAAAAAGCAUCGGCUAACUCCGUGCCAGCAGCCGCGGUAAUACGGAGGAUGCGAGCGUUAUCCGGAUUUAUUGGGUUUAAAGGGUGCGUAGGCGGACUGGAAAGUCAGCGGUAAAAUCGAGAGGCUCAACCUCUUUCCGCCGUUGAAACUGUCGGUCUUGAGUGGGCGAGAAGUAUGCGGAAUGCGUGGUGUAGCGGUGAAAUGCAUAGAUAUCACGCAGAACUCCGAUUGCGAAGGCAGCAUACCGGCGCCCGACUGACGCUGAGGCACGAAAGCGUGGGUAUCGAACAGG
rnacentral:rRNA from 1 species